rnacentral:rRNA from 1 species
UACGGGAGGCAGCAGUGGGGAAUAUUGCACAAUGGGCGCAAGCCUGAUGCAGCCAUGCCGCGUGUAUGAAAAAGGCCUUCGGGUUGUAAAGUACUUUCAGUCGUGAGGAAGGUGUUAAGGUUAAUAACCUUAGCAAUUGACGUUAGCGACAGAAGAAGCACCGGCUAACUCCGUGCCAGCAGCCGCGGUAAUACGGAGGGUGCGAGCGUUAAUCGGAAUUACUGGGCGUAAAGGGCACGCAGGCGGUUAAUUAAGUUGGAUGUGAAAUCCCCGGGCUUAACCUGGGAAUGGCAUUCAAGACUGGUUAGCUAGAGUCUUGUAGAGGGGGUUAGAAUUCCAUGUGUAGCGGUGAAAUGCGUAGAGAUGUGGAGGAAUACCGGUGGCGAAGGCGGCCCCUGGACAAAGACUGACGCUCAUGUGCGAAAGCGUGGGGAGCAAACGAGGGAUUAGAUA